GCCAAAGUAAACCGUCUUUGGGGAGGAGAAUGGCAUGGACAGGCACAGAAAUGGUUUCUUAUGCAAUCUACCAAUGCUGAAAGUGAAAUCAACUUAGCAACUGGUGAAGCAGAAGCAGAAUUCUCAGAGUGGAAGUGGGCAAGACCAGAAGAAGUAAUUGAGCAGGCUGUAGACUACAAGAGGCCAACGUAUGAGGAGGUUGUUAGGACUUUUCAGUAUUACCUCAAUGAUGG
rnacentral:misc_RNA from 1 species